ensembl:lncRNA
AUUAUUCAACCUAGAAAUCGUAACAAAAGCAGCACAGUUACUAUCAUUGAUCCUAUGUGAUCAAUGGGGCCACUUUAAACAGAAAAAAAAUUACUUUCUUUAUGAACACUACAGUUAGUGUACUCACAUAAAUAUAUACAGUCAUUGCUUUUGGAAUCAAAUGAUUAUCGGCCUGAAAGAGGAAUACCAAAAAAAGUGAAGACAUGUCCUCCUACCUGAGCUCUUCAUACGUGAAAAAGUAUCGAAGCAGAUCUUUGACAGUAUUUGGAUGAAAGAAGAGACGGACAGAAGUCGUGGGAGAAUGAAAACUAAAGGUGUUGUGCUUUUUGCUUGUGUCAUCUUCAUGGUUUUCCUUAUAGUUGAAAUCGGGUGUGCUCCAAAGGGUAAAACCAUAGUGAGAAACUGGGGCCCACAAUCAAUUCUAUAUCUUAAAGGACGCUAUGGCAGGAGAUACACCUCUGAAAAGGAUGAACAGUAUUACAAGCUUAACCUGGAGGACUUCAGUGCAUUUUUUAAAAGUAAUUUCUGAAGAAAAGCAUGUAUAACUUGCAGGUGUAUUACCUAUAGCUAUGUCUCUGUUGAUUUCAAUCAUACCAAAAGCAAAACCCUUGAGGAGCCAGAUAUUUCUAACUCCAUGGAAUUUACAUUGCAGAGGUUCUGUUUCCUGGUUUGGUACACUGACUUAAAUUUAGGGAAAAGCAGAUGGAGGUCAGGAUUUUUCUAAGUGCUAAGAAUGAUUCUGUUCCUGCUGCCUUUUACAACUUGAGCUAAGCACACAGCACUUCCAUCUCUCCAAAACCACUGGUAUUCUAAGAAUUCAAAUACAAAAUUAAUUCAAAAACAAAACAAAAAGAAUAGUGGUGGUCUUUCUGUAUAGAGUUGAGAAAAGGCCAGCAGCAUUUUAGUGCACCUUCACAGCCAAAAAGGAAAAAGACUACAGCAGGAAGACACCUGGGAAUAAGAAAAGAGAAAGAUGGAGAGUUUCACUCCAAGAUCUUCCUAGAAUGGUGAUUGUAAAAAUAAUAAUUACCAGAAAAUUAGUGGGAGAAACAAAGCUAUAGGAAGAAUGGGUUUUCCCGGCAACAGUUCAGCCAGCCAUAGAGAAUGAACACACCUUCAGUUUUAGUGAUUCAGAUCACAGUGAUACUGUUGGAAAGUUAAAGGAAAGUAGACAAGAAGUUAAAAAAAAAAAAAAAAAAGCAAUUUCAUGCAUAGUUCAUGCAUAGGUAACCCUUUUCUCACCCUUGGGUUGUUGUGGAGAAAAAUGCCACAGUUCAGUUGGGCCUAUGAAGAAAAUUCAAGGUUAAGCUUUCAACACACUAUUACAGGACUAGCUAAGUGCAUACUUUCUAUAUGAGCAAGAAAAAUACUCCAGGCUUUUAAGACUGACAGAUAUGCAUCUGCAGCUGCUGUAGUACAGGUACAGGACUCAAAUCCAAUAUCUGAGGAUGUCAGAGAAAAGAUCUCAUCUUCAGUGCAGCUAGAAUGGUUUAUGAAAUUGAAUCAUAGGUACCAAACUUUGCUUCCUACAGAAUGUCCAGCCAAUAUAUAUGACUUUGUGGUCUUUUUCUUUAGGCUGUGUUCAACACCACUGAACAUUCUGAAAAUCAGAAGAUUUAAAGCCCAAAACAUGGGCAUUAGAUGUUUGGAAUAAAACAAAGCUUUUCUUUACUUGCUACAAACAUCUCAUCCUGAGAAACAAUAAUAAAAAUUGUAACUGAAUGUUAAUACUGCAAAUGUCACAGUGUAAGUCUCUUUAAGGAUGUGCAUGUGUUAUAUCAGCUUGUUCCAAGAGAAAUCUUCAUUAUACUUACAUUUGAAAGUUAAUAAAACUAAAUGCUUAC